rnacentral:rRNA from 2 species
CAUGGUCUUUUGAGUUUGAUUUAAGAUUUGACCUGCCCACUGAGGAUUUAAAUGGCCGCGGUAAUUUGACCGUGCGAAGGUAGCAUAAUCAAUAGUUUUUUAAUUGAAAGCUGGAAUGAAUGGUUGGACGAGAAAACUACUGUCUCAAAUUUAUUUUUUUUGAAUUUUAUUUUUGAGUCAAAAAGCUUAAAUUUUGUUAAAAGACGAGAAGACCCUAUAGAGUUUAAUUUAUUUAUUUUAAAUGAUUUAAAGAAUUAGUUUUAAAAUUAAUAAAUUUUGCUGGGGUGGUAUUAAGAUUCAAUUAACUCUUAAAUUUUUAUUUUCAAUAAUUAUUGUAUAUAUUAUGAUCCAAUUUUUUUGAUUAUUAGAUUAAAUUACCUUAGGGAUAACAGCGUUAUUUUUCUUGAGAGUUCUUAUCGAAAGAAAAGAUUGCGACCUCGAUGUUGGAUUAAAAUAAACUUUUGGCGCAAGAGUUAAAAAGGGUGAGUCUGUUCGACUUUUAAAAUUUUACAUGAUCUGAGU